rnacentral:tRNA from 1 species
GCCGAGGUAGCUCAGGGGUAGAGCACCUCCUUGGUAAGGAGGUGGCCGUGGGUUCAAUUCCCAUCCUCGGCU